CUGACCUGUGUUUCUCUUCUGAUGUUCCAUCUGCCCCUGGACUUUCCUAAGUUUGCUUUCUGUACUUUAAUCCACCAUCUUCUGGUUGUGUGGUUAUUCCCAUCGGCUCUGCAGGCCACGCUCUUACCUGCAUUGUUCAUUGCUGACUGGGCUCAUCUCCUGCCAAUCACGAUGGUCCACCACUGUCUCUAUACUUCAGCCUUAAGAUUUUGCCAUUUACCUCUAAAGUUAAGACCUCAUAUGUGAAAAAAGAGUCCUCCACUGCUACUGAAGACCAUCUGCUGUGUUGCCAGAACCAUGUUUCCUCUGUUGCACUCUGCUCCACCGCCCCAAGCCCACAGGGUGUUUUUGCCCUACUAAUACUGUAUA